UACGGGAGGCAGCAGUGGGGAAUAUUGCACAAUGGGCGCAAGCCUGAUGCAGCCAUGCCGCGUGUAUGAAAAAGGCCUUCGGGUUGUAAAGUACUUUCAGUCGUGAGGAAGGUGUUAAGGUUAAUAACCUUAGCAAUUGACGUUAGCGACAGAAGAAGCACCGGCUAACUCCGUGCCAGCAGCCGCGGUAAUACGGAGGGUGCGAGCGUUAAUCGGAAUUACUGGGCGUAAAGGGCACGCAGGCGGUUAAUUAAGUUGGAUGUGAAAUCCCCGGGCUUAACCUGGGAAUGGCAUUCAAGACUGGUUAGCUAGAGUCUUGUAGAGGGGGUAGAAUUCCAUGUGUAGCGGUGAAAUGCGUAGAGAUGUGGAGGAAUACCGGUGGCGAAGGCGGCCCCUGGACAAAGGCUGACGCUCAUGUGCGAAAGCGUGGGGAGCAAACG
rnacentral:rRNA from 1 species